GCCGGGCGCAGUGGCGUGCGCCUGUAGUCCCAGCUACUCAGGAGGCUGAGGCAGGAGGAUCGCCUGAGCCCAGGAGUUCUGGGCUGUAGUGCGCUAUGCCGAUCAGGUGUCCUCACUAAGUUCGGCAUCAAUAUGGUGACCUCCCGGGAGCUGGGGACCACCAGGUUGCCAAAGGAGGGGUGAACCGGCCCAGGUCGGAAAUGGAGCAGGUCAAAAAUACCCACUAUGUCAUAGCAGACAAAGAAGCAAUAUGAAAGUCUUCUACUGGGUAGAUUUUCUUUUAU
rnacentral:SRP_RNA from 1 species